UUGCUUCUACAGCACAUACACUGAAAUUGGAACAAUAUGGACAAGAUUAGCACAGGCCUUGCACAAGGAUGACACACAAAUUUGUGAAACUUUCCAUAUUCUU
rnacentral:snRNA from 1 species